AGCACCCUUUGGGUGUGACUGCGUACCUUUUGUAUAAUGGGUCAGCGACUUAUAUUCUGUAGCAAGGUUAACCGAAUAGGGGAGCCGGAGGGAAACCGAGUCUUAAUUGGGCGUUAAGUUGCAGGGUAUAGACCCGAAACCCGGUGAUCUAGCCAUGGGCAGGUUGAAGGUUGGGUAACACUAACUGGAGGACCGAACCGACUAAUGUUGAAAA
rnacentral:rRNA from 1 species